UGGGAGUGGUGUCAUAUUUCUCGUAUUGUACGUAGAUGACAUCCUCUUGAUAGGGAGUGUCUCAUACUGACAUCGAUUAAAAUAUAAUUAUAUAUAGAAUUCUCGAUGAAAGAUCUAGGACAAGCAUCCUAUAUUCUAAGAAUAUAAAGGUCUAUAGAGAUAAAUCCAAGUGGAAGCUUGGAUUUUCACAGAAAAGUACAUAGAAGAGAUGCUAAAAGGGUUUAGCAUAGAAAACUCUAAGAGGA
rnacentral:lncRNA from 1 species